AUCCUUUCUGGUUCAUAAGCAAAGUGAUUUCCGUGUUCACACAAAUUUGUGUGACAUGUGCCUGUCUUAAUACUUGUUACACACUUGGCGCAAUACCCAGCUAAUA
ensembl:snoRNA